AGUGGUUUAAUACCAGCCCUUUCCACAAAUACAGGCCAAACGGCCUUAACACAUAUAUAUAUGUUAAGGCCGUUUGGCCUGUAUUUGUGGAAAGGGCUGGUAUUAAACCACU